AGUGAACGCUGGCGGUAGGCCUAACACAUGCAAGUCGAACGGCAGCACAGUAAGAGCUUGCUCUUACGGGUGGCGAGUGGCGGACGGGUGAGGAAUACAUCGGAAUCUACUUUUUCGUGGGGGAUAACGUAGGGAAACUUACGCUAAUACCGCAUACGACCUACGGGUGAAAGCAGGGGAUCUUCGGACCUUGCGCGAUUGAAUGAGCCGAUGUCGGAUUAGCUAGUUGGCGGGGUAAAGGCCCACCAAGGCGACGAUCCGUAGCUGGUCUUAGAGGAUGAUCAGCCGCACUGGAACUGAGACACGGUCCAGACUCCUACGGGAGGCAGCAGUGGGGAAUAUUGGACAAUGGGCGCAAGCCUGAUCCAGCCAUACCGCGUGGGUGAAGAAGGCCUUCGGGUUGUAAAGCCCUUUUGUUGGGAGAGAAAAGCAGCAGGUUAAUACCCCGCUGUUCUGACGGUACCCAAAGAAUAAGCACCGGCUAACUUCGUG
rnacentral:rRNA from 1 species